rnacentral:rRNA from 1 species
AGUGAACGCUGGCGGUAGGCCUAACACAUGCAAGUCGAACGGCAGCACAGUAAGAGCUUGCUCUUACGGGUGGCGAGUGGCGGACGGGUGAGGAAUACAUCGGAAUCUACUUUUUCGUGGGGGAUAACGUAGGGAAACUUACGCUAAUACCGCAUACGACCUACGGGUGAAAGCAGGGGAUCUUCGGACCUUGCGCGAUUGAAUGAGCCGAUGUCGGAUUAGCUAGUUGGCGGGGUAAAGGCCCACCAAGGCGACGAUCCGUAGCUGGUCUGAGAGGAUGAACGGCGACAGGGGGCAUGAGAACAGGGCGAGAGUACGAAGGGAGGCAGCGGUUGGGAAAAUUGCACAAUGGGGGAAAACAAGAUGCAGUGUCGCCGCGUGGAGGAAGAAGGUCACCGAAUUAAAAACACCGGUCGUGGGGGAAGAGAAGGGCGGUAUCCAACAAGGAGAUGACGACUAGUUCAAUU